AUACGUAGGGGGCGAGCGUUGUCCGGAAUGAUUGGGCGUACAGGGCGCGUAGGCGGCUUUGCAAGUCAGUAGUGGAAGUCCAUUUUUCAAGGAUGGAAGUGCUACAGAAACUGCGGAGCUUGAGUGCAGGAGAGGCUAUCGGAAUUCCCGGUGUAGCGGUGAAAUGCGUAGAGAUCGGGAGGAACACCAGUGGCGAAGGCGGGUAACUGGACUGCAACUGACGCUGAGGCGCGAAAGUGUGGGGAGCAAGCAGGAUUAGAUACCCUGGUAGUCCACACUGUAAACGAUGAAUGCUAGGUGUAGGAGGUAUCGACCCCUUCUGUGCCGCAGUAAACACAGUAAGCAUUCCGCCUGGGGAGUACGGUCGCAAGAUUAAAACUCAAAGGAAUUGACGGGG
rnacentral:rRNA from 1 species